CUUGUCUGACCCGAAUUCGAUUUGGCAACUUAGCCGACGAAGCCAAUAAACCGUCCGGAGGAGAAGAACUACGCGUACGCACGGCACCCAAAUAAACACAUUUGCUUCGUCAUCGGCGGCGGCGGCUUCGGAUCUUUUAUUAUUAUUAUUUUUUGUUUUAUCUUAUUUUUAUUAUACGCACGCACUCGCACACUCGAACGCACACGCAAAACAUAACAACAAAUUGCGAACGUAUUACCAUAUGUCGGCGUA